rnacentral:lncRNA from 1 species
CUCUGACUUGCCGGGCUCCCUUAAGCGAAUAUAAGCUCUAGAGCAGUCCAACUCUCCAGCUGCUUCGAUCAUACCUCUGCAUAAUCAAGUUCCUCCCAUGGAACUCACUGAUACUUUCAUUCGAACUUUUCCCUUAGUGGAACCCAGCCCCCAUAUGCUGAUGACCAAGGUUUUCAUCCGAUGCAAAAUUCGAUGCACGCACGGAAGACCCGCCUCUGCGAUACCAUGGCCUUCACUCCUUGAAUCCAUAGCCCUUCUUGCCAUCG